AAACACAGGUGUAGUGCUCAUGAACCCUUUGAGUUUGCUGUCGUUCUUGCCAUUUCCAAAGGCUGUUGCUGCUGUGUGACAGAUCUGCUCUCCCUCUCCAUAUAGCACAAACCUGUGGUGAAGAGGAAGCCUAGAAUAUGGAAAGAUCAUGGCACUGGAGUUCUGGUUUGAGAAUGUCCCAGAUGUCGGAUCCAGGGAAAGUUUUUUACCUUCUCAACCCCUAAUCCUUCUUCUGUAAGAUACCAUAUAGAGACAUGGAAUGGAUGACCUCAAUUAAGAAGAGUGAGGAGUGAAAGAAGAGACCCAGAAUGGAGCCCUGGGGAGCUUCAACAUUUGGAGGACAAAUAGAUGGACUGGUGUCCUUAUAAGGAGAGGAAGCCACCCCAGGAGUGCACACAUCCAGACAAAAAAGCCAUGUGAGACCAAAGCAAGAAGACAGUCAUCUGCAAGGCCAGGACAGAGCUCUCACCAGAAACCAAACCUUCUGGCACCUUGAUCUUGGGCUUCCAGCUCCAGAACCGUGAGCAAUAAAUUUCUGUUUUUAAGCCACCCACUCUGUGGUGUUCUGUUGUGGAAACCCAAGCAGACUAAUACACCCACUUUGUAAGAUUAGCAUCUUUUAUUUGCUUUAUAAUAAUCAUAUUUUUAUUUUCCACGACUUCUUUCUCGUUCCCUAAUUGUCUUUUUUUCUUUUGAUCUUGAUAUUGUCUGCUGGCUGCAAAAUGUUCUCAAAUCACUGUGAGAAUAAUAAUUAGAACUUUAAAGGUUGUUCUUUUCUUCAGCUAUUUUCUCUAAAAGCUCUUUUUUUCUAUUUGUUU
rnacentral:lncRNA from 1 species